GACGAACGCUGGCGGCGUGCUUAACACAUGCAAGUCGAACGGAAAGGCCCUGCUUGCAGGGUACUCGAGUGGCGAACGGGUGAGUAACACGUGGGUGAUCUGCCCUGCACUUCGGGAUAAGCCUGGGAAACUGGGUCUAAUACCGGAUAGGAGCCAUUUUUAGUGUGAUGGUUGGAAAGUUUUUUCGGUGUAGGAUGAGCUCGCGGCCUAUCAGCUUGUUGGUGGGGUAAUGGCCUACCAAGGCGGCGACGGGUAGCCGGCCUGAGAGGGUGGACGGCCACAUUGGGACUGAGAUACGGCCCAGACUCCUCCGGGAGGCAGCAGUGGGGAAUAUUGCACAAUGGGCGCAAGCCUGAUGCAGCGACGCCGCGUGGGGGAUGACGGCCUUCGGGUUGUAAACUCCUUUCGCUAGGGACGAAGCUUUUUGUGACGGUACCUAGAUAAGAAGCACCGGCUAACUACGUG
rnacentral:rRNA from 1 species